rnacentral:rRNA from 1 species
UACGUAGGGGGCUAGCGUUGUCCGGAAUCAUUGGGCGUAAAGCGCGCGUAGGCGGCCAGAUAAGUCCGGUGUGAAAGUCACAGGCUCAACCCUGGGAUGCCGGUGGAUACUGUCGAGCUCGAGUCCGGAAGAGGCGAGUGGAAUUCCUGGUGUAGCGGUGAAAUGCGCAGAUAUCAGGAGGAACACCAAUGGCGAAGGCAGCUCGCUGGGACGUGACUGACGCUGAGACGCGAAAGCGUGGGGAGCAAACAGG